UCUCCGUAGGUGAACCUGCGGAGGGAUCAUUACAGAGUUCAUGCCCUCCGGGUAGAUCUCCCACCCAUUGCUAUAACUACUCUCGUUGCUUUGGCGGGCCGCUGGGCCCUGCCCGGCCGCCGGCCCCGGCUGGCGCGUGCCCGCCAGAGACCUCACAGACUCUGAAUGUUAGUGUCGUCCGAGUAACUAUACAAUCGUUAAAACUUUCAACAACGGAUCUCUUGGUUCUG
rnacentral:misc_RNA from 1 species